rnacentral:rRNA from 1 species
UUCUGGCUCAGGAUGAACGCUGGCGGCAUGCCUAACACAUGCAAAUCGAACGGAGUCACCGACUUCGGUUGAUAACUUAGUGGCGGACGGGUGAGUAACGCGUGAGUAACCUGCCUCUCAGAGGGGGAUAACGUUCUGAAAAGAACGCUAAUACCGCAUAUAAUCACGAAAUCGCAUGAUUUUGUGAUGAAAGGAGCAAUCCGCUGAGAGAUGGACUCGCGUCUGAUUAGCUAGACGGUGGGGUAACGGCUCACCGUGGCGGCGAUCAGUAGCCGGACUGAGAGGUUGAACGGCCACAUUGGGACUGAGACACGGCCCAGACUCCUACGGGAGGCAGCAGUGGGGGAUAUUGCGCAAUGGGGGAAACCCUGACGCAGCAAUGCCGCGUGAAGGAAGAAGGUUUUCGGAUUGUAAACUUCUUUCGUUAAGGACGAUAAUGACGGUACUUAACGAAUAAGCUCCGGCUAACUAUGUGCCAGCAGCCGCGGUAAUACAUAGGGAGCAAGCGUUAUCCGGAUUUACUGGGUGUAAAGGGUGCGUAGGCGGCUAGACAAGUCAGAUGUGAAAUACACAGGCUCAACUUGUGUUCUGCAUUUGAAACUGUAUAGCUUGGGUGGAGUAGAGGCAGGCGGAAUUCCCGGUGUAGCGGUGAAAUGCGUAGAGAUCGGGAGGAACACCAGUGGCGAAGGCGGCCUGCUGGGCUUUAACUGACGCUGAGGCACGAAAGCGUGGGUAGCAAACAGGAUUAGAUACCCUGGUAGUCCACGCUGUAAACGAUGAUUACUAGGUGUGGGUGGACUGACCCCAUCCGUGCCGCAGUUAACACAAUAAGUAAUCCACCUGGGGAGUACGACCGCAAGGUGGCAACUCAAAUGAAUUGACGGA